rnacentral:snRNA from 1 species
GGAAAUAAGAUGGAUGUGACAUCUAUCUCCCCAUUGAUCACUAGGGUCGAUUCAGCAAUCUGGCUAGCUAGGCAGGUGUGCACUUCCUCCCUCACUACACCUUGUGCACACUCCUGAAGCUGCACACUCAGUCAAAGAGUACACUGUGCCCCAAUAGAGGAGGUCCAUCCUCAGUCAAGAGUAUACAAAUAGCUGUGCUUUCCUGCUAGAACUUCCAAACGCGGUCUCCAGGAAGGGAAUAAGAACUUCAUAAAUAUUAUCAUAACCACAGCCCUUCAACAGAAGUAUAAUCU